GUAUGGCAGCAUUACAAGUGUCACUCGCUAUACUUGGGAAAGUCCCCGGAGGUCUUUGCGUGCUGUUUAUGAUACUUUGCUCUCGUUGCGAGAACGAAUGCGUGUAGAGUGAGCCGAGUGAGCGAGUCGCGAAAGAACUCAGUGCUUAUUAUUGUGUUUUUGUUAACCAUUAUGGCAUCUAAAAAACCCAGAGUGAUGCAAAAGUUUAAUCGGAACUGGAUGGAGUAUUCUUCCUACAAGGCGUGGUUGAGACCUAGUAAUAAAGUUUCUACUACAGAUAAACGGUUCAAGGCAUCUGGCAACACUGCUAACCAGUUAGUAACGCGUUGGCAACUGAUCGCGCGCGACGCGUCGUGCCGGUCGCCGAGCUACUAGGAGAUAAGAGGUGUUGCGACCCCGCGCUAUCGCUCACCUCCACGUCAUCGUCGGCGGGCGGCGACGACAGCGCCAGCGGCUGCGGCGCGAGCGAGGCGGGCAGCGCGGCCAGCGCCGCCGCCAGGUCGGGGGGCUGGGGCCCGGCCGAGCGGGGCCCGGGCGCCGCGCGCGGGGCCGCCAGGCGGUGCCACGAGCGCGCCUUGACGCCCAGGCCGGCGGGCGGCAGCGCCAGCAGCUCGUCGGCGUACAGCUCGCGCAGACGGCCCUGCUCCAGCGAGUAGCGCAGCACGCGCCGCGCGCUCACGCCGCCUGCGUCGCACGAGCACCGCAUCUGUCGGCAUUUGUAUUCUCUAACUAUGCUAACCCAUGUUUCCUGUCAAUUUGUAUAAUACUAAUAUUUCAAUUCACAGCAAAAUCACAUAGAAAGUGAGGACAAGCAUUUUGGACAUGUAAUUUAGACUCUUGAAAAGUGUAGUUUUUCAGCCACUUUGAAUAAAUUUUGAUUUAGA